GACGAACGCUGGCGGCGUGCCUAAUACAUGCAAGUUGAGCGCUGAAGGUUGGUACUUGUACCAACUGGAUGAGCAGCGAACGGGUGAGUAACGCGUGGGGAAUCUGCCUUUGAGCGGGGGACAACAUUUGGAAACGAAUGCUAAUACCGCAUAAAAACUUUAAACACAAGUUUUAAGUUUGAAAGAUGCAAUUGCAUCACUCAAAGAUGAUCCCGCGUUGUAUUAGCUAGUUGGUGAGGUAAAGGCUCACCAAGGCGAUGAUACAUAGCCGACCUGAGAGGGUGAUCGGCAACAUUGGGACUGAGACACGGCCAAACAUCCUACGGGAGGCAGCAGUAGGGAAUCUUCGGCAAUGGACGAAAGUCUGACCGAGCAACGCCGCGUGAGUGCCGAAGGUUUUCGGAUCGUAAAACUCUGUUGGUAGAGAAGAACGUUGGUGAGAGUGGCAAGCUAAUCAAGUGACGGUAACUACACAGAAAGGGACGGCUAACUCCGUG
rnacentral:rRNA from 1 species